CCUACGGGAGGCAGCAGUGAGGAAUAUUGGUCAAUGGGCGCGAGCCUGAACCAGCCAAGUAGAGUGAAGGAUGACUGCCCUACGGGUUGUAAACUUCUUUUAUAAAGGAAUAAAGUGAGGCACGGGUGCCUUUUUGUAUGUACUUUAUGAAAAAGGAUCGGAUAACUCCGUGCCAGCAGCCGCGGUAAUACGGAGGAUCCGAGCGUUAUCCGGAUUUAUUGGGUUUAAAGGGAGCGUAGAUGGGUUGUUAAGUCAGUUGGGAAAGUUUGUGGCUCAACCGUAAAAUUGCAAUGGAUACUGGCAGCCUUGAGUACAGUUGAGGUAGGCGGAAUACGUGGUGUAGCUGUGAAAUGCUUAGAUAUCACGAAGAACUCCGAUUGCGAAGGCAGCUUACUAAACUGCCACUGACAUUGAUGCUCGAAAGUGUGGGUAUCAAACAGGAUUAGAUACCCCAGUAGUC
rnacentral:rRNA from 1 species